rnacentral:rRNA from 1 species
GACAGAGGGUGCAAGCGUUGUUCGGAAUUAUUGGGCGUAAAGGGCGCGUAGGUGGCCUUGUAAGUCAGAUGUGAAAGCUCUGGGCUUAACCCAGAAAGUGCAUCUGAUACUGCUCGGCUUGAGUCUCGGAGAGGAUGGUGGAAUUCCCAGUGUAGAGGUGAAAUUCGUAGAUAUUCGGAAGAACACCAGUGGCGAAGGCGACUCGCUGGACAAGUAUUGACGCUGAGGUGCGAAAGCGUGGGGAGCAAACAGG